rnacentral:rRNA from 1 species
AACGGCCGUACCAUGCUGAAUAUACCGGUUCUCGUUAGAACACCGAAGUGCAGCAUCAUUGGGCGCGGUCAGUACUUGGGUGGGUGACCACCUGGGAACACCGCGUGCC